CUUUUUUUUUUUUAAUUUGCACCGCGUGUUCGAGUCUCCUCGAGCCCCCACUAAUCCCGGAAAUGUACAGGCCCUCAGCAAGGAGUUUCCCGUAAGUGCACCACAGUUAAUUUAGGUUUUACUUAGUCCGAUGGCCCUCAGAAAUUGUUUGCACCCAAUGGGUUUCGAACUUGAGACCUUGAAAGGGAGCAAACCCCAAGGCUCAAGUCAAUUGUCAUCAGGCCAACCCCUGAGGGUAUUCAUAGUCUCUUUCCGCUGUUACUUUAGCCAAUGGAUUUCAAACUAAAACAAAAGGAGUUGGACAAGCUAAUCCCUUACCCUUUGUCACUCUAGAUUUCGUUCUUUAUGUCCCUGGCUGUCCUUUUAGUCUUGCAUCUAUUAGUCAUUUGACUCGUGACCUCCAUUGUGGAAUAUAUUUUAUUGAUAAUUCUUUUAUUAUGCAGGACCACAGUACAAGACAGAUGAUUCGCACAGGGCUUGAAUCAGAAAGCCUUUACUACUGGCCAACCCAUGAGGGUUAAGCUCUCUUGUUUUCCUGCAGUUAAAUGUAAAUCAGGUUGUGACAACUGGAGCAUCCAGUUCUCUGGACUAGCUACGAGUAGGAGUGACAUACGGGGAGUCGGAUCGGAUAUGGUUCGGGUCCAAAACGGAUAAUGAAAAAAUGAAUAAAUUAUCCGACCCGACCCAUACUUAAUACGAAUAAAAACAGACUAACCAGAUGA
rnacentral:lncRNA from 1 species